UACACGCACUUACAAUAGAGAGAAAUCGCGUGGGUGAGAGCCAGUGGGAGCGCGACAUGGAGGAAGAGAGCAAAACAAGGAUGUUAUCAGAAAGGAUGUUCUUUAGCUCCACGGUGUUACAUGGGGAUUGAGCUUGUUAUACGCUAUGGAUAACAAAGGCCACAAAGCUUCAGUUUCCACUCAAGUUGAUGGGAUGAAGCAUGGUAUGAGUGUAAUUAUAAGAAAUGCAAAGAUAGAUAUGAAUAAGGAAGCAUGAGGCGAGGUUGACAAAUGAGGUUGCUAAGAGGUCACCAAACCUGUUUAGUUUUAAGUCAUGAAGGACAAUAACCUUUCUCUGGUCAUGUAUGAGCUGGUGACUGUUGUUGAUCCCAACUCAAUACUUGCACCAGUGCUAAGAAGGUUGAGAAAUGAAGUUGGCUGAUUUCUGUCAUGCUACUAGCUGGAAUGCAAUAAGUAGUGGUACUGUUUGCAACCUAGAAAUGUAAAGUUGAAGCUAAUGACUUGUGCUUUUGAAUAUUGCAUUCUGCCUUUAUGGAUUUUACAUAUAUUCAGUUUAUAUUUUUAAAUUGAACUAAACCUUUUAGCAAGACGGUUUUGUACAUUGCCUUGUCUUUACUUAUAGCUCGACGGUUUUGUAGCAAUAUUUUUUGGAGCUCCUAUUCCUCAUCUGAGUUUCA